UACGGAGGAUGCGAGCGUUAUCCGGAUUUACUGGGUUUAAAGGGUGCGUAGGCGGGAUGCCAAGUCAGCGGUAAAAAUGCGGUGCUCAACGCCGUCGAGCCGUUGAAACUGGCGUUCUUGAGUGGGCGAGAAGUAUGCGGAAUGCGUGGUGUAGCGGUGAAAUGCAUAGAUAUCACGCAGAACUCCGAUUGCGAAGGCAGCAUACCGGCGCCCUACUGACGCUGAGGCUCGAAAGCGUGGGGAGCAAACAGG
rnacentral:rRNA from 1 species